rnacentral:sRNA from 1 species
UUUCAGUUCAACACACAGUCUCCUCCAUUAUUUUGAUCGUCUGAUUCUUACCGGAGCCGAAAGCAAAAGUAAUGGGGAAGAGGGCUAUGGCCGGAGCUUGAGAUACGCCGCUCUGAAUCUUGCCGCCCUGCACUGCCGCUUCGGUCACUAAGCUGGCUUUAUGUGCUGGGGCAGAAGAGAUCCGAUAGCUAUGUUCUGCUGGAGCAUUCUGUGAAGAAGGCAGUACAUUUUGGGUUACCGUACCUCGCCUCCCUGGGAAUACAGUCCCUUGUUCAACAGAGAGCUUUUGCUGGGAAGACGGCAAACAAGCUGAUGGAUGCCCUAAAGGACUCCGACCUCCUGCACUGGAAACACAGCCUGUCAGAGCUCAUCGAUAUCAGCAUCGCACAGAAAACGGCCAUCUGGAGGCUGUAUGGCCGCAGCACCAUGGCACUGCAACAGGCCCAGAUGUUGCUGAGCAUGAACAGCCUGGAGGCGGUGAAUGCGGGCGUGCAGCAGAACAACACGGAGUCCUUUGCUGUUGCACUCUGCCACCUCGCAGAGCUACACGCGGAGCAGGGCUGUUUUGCUGCAGCUUCUGAAGUGUUAAAGCACUUGAAGGAACGAUUUCCGCCUAAUAGUCAGCACGCCCAGUUAUGGAUGCUAUGUGAUCAAAAAAUACAGUUUGACAGAGCAAUGAAUGAUGGCAAAUAUCAUUUGGCUGAUUCACUUGUUACAGGAAUCACAGCUCUCAAUAGCAUAGAGGGUGUUUAUAGGAAAGCGGUUGUAUUACAAGCUCAGAACCAAAUGUCAGAGGCACAUAAGCUUUUACAAAAAUUGUUGGUUCAUUGUCAGAAACUGAAGAACACAGAAAUGGUGAUCAGGUAAGGGGUCUCUUGUGCAUCUCACGGAGAUGUGGUGGUGGAUCUUCUCAUCCUGUGUUUUCCUCUUUACGGUCAGUGUCCUACUGUCCGUGGCAGAGCUGUACUGGCGAUCUUCCUCCCCUACCAUCGCGCUGCCCAUGCUCCUGCAGGCUCUGGCCCUCUCCAAGGAGUACCGGUUACAGUACUUGGCCUCUGAAACAGUGCUGAACUUGGCUUUUGCGCAGCUCAUUCUUGGAAUCCCAGAACAGGCCUUAAGUCUUCUCCACAUGGCCAUCGAGCCCAUCUUGGCUGACGGGGCUAUCCUGGACAAAGGUCGUGCCAUGUUCUUAGUGGCCAAGUGCCAGGUGGCUUCAGCAGCUUCCUAUGAUCAGCCGAAGAAAGCAGAAGCUCUGGAGGCUGCCAUCGAGAACCUCAAUGAAGCCAAGAACUAUUUUGCAAAGGUUGACUGCAAAGAGCGAAUCAGGGACGUCGUUUACUUCCAGGCCAGACUCUACCAUACCCUGGGGAAGACCCAGGAGAGGAACCGGUGUGCGAUGCUCUUCCGGCAGCUGCAUCAGGAACUGCCCUCUCAUGGGGUACCCUUGAUAAACCAUCUCUAGAGAGGACAUCCCUGCUGGGCUGCUGUGCAGAGUAUAAGAUUUUGGACUUGUUCAUGUCCCCUCUCUCCCUUUAAAUGAUGUAUUUGUGACACCCUAUCUUGUCAAUAAACAGCAUUCUGAUU